rnacentral:rRNA from 1 species
ACCAGAGUAACUGCUGGUACCUUGACGGUACCUAACCAGAAAGCCACGGCUAACUACGUGCCAGCAGCCGCGGUAAUACGUAGGUGGCAAGCGUUGUCCGGAAUUAUUGGGCGUAAAGCGCGCGCAGGUGGUUCCUUAAGUCUGAUGUGAAAGCCCACGGCUCAACCGUGGAGGGGCAUUGGAAACUGGGGAACUUGAGUGCAGAAGAGGAAAGUGGAAUUCCAAGUGUAGCGGUGAAAUGCGUAGAGAUUUGGAGGAACACCAGUGGCGAAGGCGACUUUCUGGUCUGUAACUGACACUGA